UAAACUUUAAAUGCCUUUUUUUAGCUUAUGGAUGAUUUACUUGGCACAAAACCAUUUAUGUCGCCUUGUAAAUAUUGUAUCCAUAACCGGUAAAAAGUCGCAAGCGGAAUCUGAGCAGUCGGACUGUAGUCAGACAUCCUCCAAUGAAGACAAAGAGAACUCAUAGGAAUAACUAAAAGAAGAAAUAAAGAAGAACAGAGAAAACGGAAUAUAAUUUGCAUUGAGUUCUCUUUGUCUUCAUUGGAGGAUGUCUGACUACAGUCCGACUGCUCAGAUUCCGCUUGCGACCUUUUACUGGUUAUGGAUACAGUAUUUACAAGGCGACAUAAAUGGUUUUGUGCCAAGUAAGUCAUCCAUAAGCUAAAAAAAGGCAUUUAAAGUUUAUAUUCGAUGUAUAUAUACAAUAUUUAAUUUUAAUUUUAAAAUAACAAUUUACAGAAAGAUAAUGCCAUGUUCCACUCCCAGAUUUUUUUAUUAUGAUCCUUGAUGAUUUUGUAUGUUCUCUUUAAUCCAGAAAAUUUUGAUAAACAUUGUAGUCCAGUAACAAGGAAACCAUCUCUUCUGCAAUUAAUAAUCAUAUUUUCUUUUGAGACAUCUUUCCACUUGUAAAGUCGUUCUGUCGUAAUUGUUCUUGUAGUAAUUCUUCUAUCAGUAAGAGAAUAGCCUCUUAUAGCCAUUUAUAUGCUGUCAAAAAUAAAUUUAUUUAAAAUCA